UACCAGCACCCCGAGUGGUCGGGACGUUUUAUUGGGCCUAAAGCAUCCGUAGCCGGUUCUACAAGUCUUCCGUUAAAUCCACCUGCUUAACAGAUGGGCUGCGGAAGAUACUAUAGAGCUAGGAGGCGGGAGAGGCAAGCGGUACUCGAUGGGUAGGGGUAAAAUCCGUUGACCCAUUGAAGACCACCAGUGGCGAAGGCGGCUUGCCAGAACGCGCUCGACGGUGAGGGAUGAAAGCUGGGGGAGCAAACCGG
rnacentral:rRNA from 1 species